GGACACGCAGACUAAUCCUGACUCGUGGAAGGGGACUACACAAGGGGAUGAAUUCCAGGAGACUCUCCAACACCUUGCACUGAAAGUUUCACUAGAGGCAAAUGCAUCUGUAUCCUGACAGUCGAUGAAAUCAAUCAAAUCAGAUGGGAGAAGCCUCCAGCUCUCCAAUCCAUCCUCCACACUGCUGCCAAAAAGUUGUUCCUAAAAACUAAUUGGACACGUCACUCUGCUGAAAAAAUCUCUAAUGGC